UACGUAGGGUGCAAGCGUUAAUCGGAAUUACUGGGCGUAAAGCGUGCGCAGGCGGUGAUGUAAGACAGAUGUGAAAUCCCCGGGCUCAACCUGGGACCUGCAUUUGUGACUGCAUCGCUAGAGUACGGUAGAGGGGGAUGGAAUUCCGCGUGUAGCAGUGAAAUGCGUAGAGAUGUGGAGGAACACCGAUGGCGAAGGCAGCCUCCUGGGCCAGCACUGACGCUCAUGCACGAAAGCGUGGGGAGCAAACAGG
rnacentral:rRNA from 1 species